rnacentral:rRNA from 1 species
AUGAACGCUGGCGGCGUGCUUAACCCAUGCAAGUCGAACGAAGCACUUAAGAUUGAUUCUUCGGAUGACGUCUUUUGUGACUUAGUGGCGGACGGGUGAGUAACGCGUGGGUAACCUGCCUCACACAGGGGGAUAACAGUUAGAAAUGACUGCUAAUACCGCAUAACCCGAUAGGAUCGCAUGAUCCAGACGGAAAAGAUUUAUCGGUGUGAGAUGGACCCGCGUCUGAUUAGCUAGUUGGUGAGGUAACGGCCCACCAAGGCGACGAUCAGUAGCCGGCCUGAGAGGGUGAACGGCCACAUUGGGACUGAGACACGGCCCAAACUCCUACGGGAGGCAGCAGUGGGGAAUAUUGCACAAUGGGGGAAACCCUGAUGCAGCGACGCCGCGUGAGUGAAGAAGUAUUUCGGUAUGUAAAGCUCUAUCAGCAGGGAAGAAAAUGACGGUACCUGACUAAGAAGCCCCGGCUAACUACGUG